UUCAAUGGGCUGGGUUCAUUUCAUCUUCAUGACAACCCUGUGUGGGAAAAUGUCAUGAAAAUGAAAGGAGACCAGCCCAUUGAA
rnacentral:miRNA from 1 species